AGUGAACGCUGGCGGUAGGCCUAACACAUGCAAGUCGAACGGCAGCACAGUAAGAGCUUGCUCUUACGGGUGGCGAGUGGCGGACGGGUGAGGAAUACAUCGGAAUCUACUUUUUCGUGGGGGAUAACGUAGGGAAACUUACGCUAAUACCGCAUACGACCUACGGGUGAAAGCAGGGGAUCUUCGGACCUUGCGCGAUUCAAUGAGCCGAUGUCGGAUUAGCUAGUUGGCGGGGUAAAGGCCCACCAAGGCGACGAUCCGUAGCUGGUCUGAGAGGAUGAUCAGCCACACUGGAACUGAGACACGGUCCAGACUCCUACGGGAGGCAGCAGUGGGGAAUAUUGGACAAUGGGCGAAAGCCUGAUCCAGCCAUACCGCGUGGGUGAAGAAGGCCUUCGGGUUGUAAAGCCCUUUUGUUGGGAAAGAAGAGCAGCAGGUUAAUACCCCGCUGUUUUGACGGUACCAAAAGAAUAAGCACCGGCUAACUUCGUG
rnacentral:rRNA from 1 species